AUGUCGGGCGUGGAAGAGAAGCCGGAGGAGAAUCUGCGCUCGAACCUUGCCCUCACAGCUCUUAGCAUCGUCCGUAACCACCAGUACUUAAAGGAGCUUGCUAUGAAGCAGCUCACGUUCCCCGAACUGGUGCGGAGCACGGACAAGAAUGAGCUGGCCGCUAUGCACAAUGAAAAGGUCGAGGCGCUCAUGGUCCACGACCCCAAGAGGCAGGCCCUCGUCGCCGGCCGCUUCUGCAGCUUCCACCUAGCCGGCUUCGACCUCGACCAAAAGUCAAGAGUAGAACUUGGGCCACCGUACGACCCUGCUGUGAGGAAGGGGACGGCUUCAACCAUGAAUGUCAUUUCCUUGAGGGUGGUUAGAGUUGGUCCUGAUUACACAUACCCGGUUGAGGUUUACGGUAGGGUUGUUGCGAGGGAUGAGGUUGACUACAAAUGUGUCUACCUCUUAAACCGUCAAAGGGAGGAUGCCCAGCUCAUCAAUUCGGAGAAGGAUGUGUUAGCUCUAACAGGUCCAUACCGGCCAUUGGUUACUCGUGCUUUUAUGUGCUUUGAGCUCGAUUUAAAGAUCAAGGGCAAGGGUUUUAGAGAAACAGUUAGAAUCAAAACAUGA
rnacentral:rRNA from 1 species